AAAAAAAAAAGACUUGUGCGUCAUGAACGCUUGUAGGCUGACUUGAUGCAGUUACUAUGAGCUGGGAAGUUGGGAGAAGUUUUUUCUAUGUGUUUUGUAGACGAGAUCUGUGGCUGUGUGUCUCCAUUGGGGGGGAGAGAGUGGAAUCCAGAAGGGGGGACGUGUGUUCUUGUUUCUAAGUCUGAAAUAAUUCCUUUAAAAGAAUGAAUGAGAUUAUUAAGUGUCUCAGGACCCCUCUAUCUAUGUGCAUCAGUGCAUUGGAGGGAAACUGAUAGUAGAAUCGAUCCCAUUUAUUUAAAAGGGGCAGUUUACAUUCAUCCAGUGUCUCAAAUGGACGCCAGGCAGUGGAACGCGCCACAUUGGCGCUGGAUAAGGGAGCGCAUCUUGCUGCAUUCAUUCCCCUGUGAGGCAUGCGCAAUUAAUGAACGCCAAAUCCUAAACAGACAAUGGACUUCUGUCAUUAUAGGCGACUCUUUAGAGGCCUGUUCACACUUUCCGCUCAAAAUGGACAUUUUUUUGAUGCUGAUGCAUUUCUGUGGCGGAAUUCCGUGUGCGCUGCAUUGUCAUCAAUAGCCAUGGCACAGGUCCAGUUUUGUUUCUGUUCUACUGAGAAUCUCUGCAUGGAAUUUGUCUCCGGUGUAAAUUCCUAAUCUGAACGUGCUCUUAUGGUCGGCAGAUAAUAAAAGGAAAUUGGUUAUAUAGAGGAACCUGGGAGGUGGGGGGUUUGGUGAUGUAGAUUGAUGAUUUUUCUACAUUUUUUAUUUGUGUGGUGGUGAUGUGUAUGUGCCCACAUUUUUUUAUUACAUAGUUGCAUGACGUGAUAACUAUAAUUCUAGUGUACUUUUUUGUAAAACUGCGUACCACUUGGUAUGUCUCAAAACAGCAACUGAAACAAAUCGUGCCACAAAUCCACACCACAAAAAAAGAGUAAAACCAAUCAAAACACCCACCACCACCAUCCAAAUAUCUCUCUGUUCUUGGUUGUAUUUGUGACAACCAUGUUUAGGGUUAGAAUACAUUUAAGAAAUUGUCCACUUUUGAUGUUUCCUGUACGCUCAGCCGAUGGUAAAUUUUACAGCUGUUUGAAGAAUAUUCUUCGACCGUGGUAUCUGUGGGUCCUACACAGGGGUAAUAUGUUUUUUUCUGCUCACGUAUUGCUAUUACAGAUAGGAGAUAAUAAGCUUUGUAGAAGCAAAUAUGCUGCUAAAUUACUACAGGCCACUUAUGUUACGGUAGACACGUGUGCCAGUGUCCCUUAGACUGUUGCAAAAAUGACAACUCUCAUUAUACCUGACAGUCGAAGGCUACAGCCAUAGCCAUUGAUUAUGGGAAGGUUUUUCCCCAUUAACCCUUAUAAUUAUUUUAUUUUAAGAAAAUUGACCGCACCCUUAGAGGUUCACUUUAAUGUUUCAUUUUGUCAGCCAGCCAUAGAUUCUUCCUCUUCACAUUUAACCCUUUCCCACGUUGUCACGUGCGCAUCACUUUUCCACGUACCAACGCACAUGUAUGUGACGGUGAUCACGUCUGGAAUAUGGCUGUGAUUGACAACCACCCUCUAGCACUAUUGGAUGAGACUGGAGAAAACUCUCAUCGGAGCUGUUUAACCACUUCAAUGACAAUCCUAGUGCAGACAGAGAGAGCCUUCUUUUGCCCUGUCCCUGUCAGCCUCGGUAGUCACAUUACCAAAACAGGACAAAUGCAUCACAAAAACCUAUAACACUCCAUAUUAUAAAUCUACAUUCGCUUUGCCCUAUACAUUAAAUCUAUAUUCCCCAUUCAUUUUAAAGGUAAACACUGCAACAAAAAAAAGUAAAAGAAAAGAAGUUACUAUGAAUUUACCCACAAAUAUAAAAAUGAAUCUUCCCACAAAACAAGGCCUCAAAUAGCUACGUGUCUAUAACCCAGUAUAUGAAGACAUUAAAGUUGUCAUUGCAGAGUACAAGUGGUCCGGCAAAAAACAGGCCCUCGUAUGAGUGAGUGGAUUGAAAAAUAAAAGGGCUUUGUCUAUUAAUGUUAUGUCUACUAAAAGCUAAACAAGCCUAUGGCGGUCAAUGGGAAAAAAAUGCCACAAACUGAAUGAAGAAACAAAAAGGUUAGAAAAAAGCCAACCCGAAAAAAAACAGAAGACUAUCAAACCACAAACAGAAAAGCAUUGAAGGUAAAGUGUUUUAAUUUGACUAAUGACUCCCAAAAAUGAUAUUUUUUUGGAGAUGUUUUUUCAUGCUCUCGUAGAUCAUAAGUUGUUUACAGAGCCUAUCAGAUGGAUUGAAUGUUGGGCAGAGAGCACAGCACAAACAGGGCUCAAGUCCUGCAGGAACUCAUGGGAACUGAGUUCCUGCACUUUUUCCACAGCUGGAACGCAGUUCCCAUUAGCAGGAGUCCUGCAGGUCCAUCCCUUAAAGGGGUACUCCGACCCUAGAUAUCUUAUCCCGGGGGUCCCGCCGCUGGGGAUUCCCAGCAAUUCUUGGCUAUGGCACCCAAGACAUCCGGUGCACGGAGUGAACUUUGCUCCAUGCCGAAUGACUGGCG